UACUAUGGAUAACUAUAUUGGUGGAUA
rnacentral:sRNA from 1 species